AAGUAAUUAUGUAUGUUAAGUC
rnacentral:siRNA from 1 species